rnacentral:rRNA from 1 species
UACGUAGGGUGCGAGCGUUAAUCGGAAUUACUGAGCGUAAAGCGUGCGCAGGCGGCUUUGCAAGACAGAUGUGAAAUCCCCGGGCUCAACCUGGGAACUGCAUUUGUGACUGCAAGGCUAGAGUACGGCAGAGGGGGAUGGAAUUCCGCGUGUAGCAGUGAAAUGCGUAGAUGUGCGGAGGAACACCAAUGGCGAAGGCAAUCCCCUGGGCCUGUACUGACGCUCAUGCACGAAAGCGUGGGGAGCAAACAGG